GGAAGAUUGACUCACGAGAGAUUGGAGAGGUAGAUUCACACAGUGAUAGUGCAAGCAGCUUGCUUCUAAUUAAAUAUGCCACAGAGUCUCAAAGCAUUUGCUUUCAGCCGCAGAGAGAGGAAGCUGCCUAAGAAUGUAAGGAAGAAAUAUAUCACAUCAUCUGUCUGUCCACAGCCUUCCUUUGGGCAUCUAAAGAACAUGAGGAGUCUGUAGACAGCGGAGGCUUCUGCUGUCUUUUGUUGCGCUGCAAAUUCUCCUUUCUUUUCACUUGUGCUUCCUUGCUCCUGGCUGUGGCAGUGGAAUACCCAGUUACACGUGAGUUUCCGUGCUCUUGUUCCCCACUUGUUUCAGGAUUUGUUAUCUCUGAUGCAUUGACAC
rnacentral:lncRNA from 1 species